GGCCACCUUCGGGGGGCUGUCAACAUAGGAGAGCGCCGCAAGGGCCUCUUCGUUUGCUAAACGGAAGACAGAAA
rfam:Rhodobacteraceae bacterium HLTCCO07 ITZY_scaf_77, whole genome shotgun sequence.